GGCAGAUGCGCUGCGCUUGCAGCCGGGCGGCGAAGCCGGGCUCCAGCGCAGGCUCCAGGGCGGUGCGCGCCUCCUGCAAGGGGAGAGGCCGGGGAGAUCUACGUAUCUACGUAUGAGUGCUCUGUCUGCAUGUACACCUGUAUGCCAGAAGAGGGCACCACAUCACAUUAUAGAUGGUUGGGAGCCACCACCUACGAGGUGGUUGCCGGAAUCCAGACUUCUGGAAGAGCAGCCAGUGCUUUUAACCACGGAGCCAUCUCUGCAGCCCCUCUUUUUUGUUUUUGUUUUUGUUUUUGUUUUUGACAGGGUUUCUCUGUGUGACCUUGGCUGUCCUGGAACUCACUAUGCAGACCAGGCUGACCUCGAACUCAGAGAUCCGCCUAUCUCUGCCUCCCAAGUGCUGGGAUUACAGGCGAGAGCCACCACAGCCCAGCAUCUACUGAUUUUUUUCCAAUGAUUUCUUUUAUUUUUAAAUUAUGUGUUGGGGGUUGUAUAUUUAGUAGUGCAGGUGCCCACAGAGGCCAGAAGGGGUCAUCUGAUAGCCCGGAGCUGGAGUUACGGUAGAUGUGAGGGGCUAGAAGUGGGUGCUGAGAAUUCACCAAGGUCCUCUAGAAGAGUGGUGUGCGUGCCUGACGGCUGGGCCAUCCUUGCCAGUGUCACGUAGUUACUAAUUGUGGAGCUGGGAUUAGUACUUCAGCAGCUAAACUCUAGAGUCCACCCUCUUUUUUUGGUGGGGGGGUUAAUUUUUUUAUAUUAAUCACAGGUUGAGUCCACCCUCUUAGCCAUUUAGUUGUUAUGUAACAUUAAACCACACAUGGUAACAGAUAAUACUAGUCUCUUCAUUAAAUGUUGAUGCUGACACCUGAUACAGAAGCGGAAGGUAAGAGGCUCAAAAUGGCCCCGUGGUAAGAGCAUGCCCUACUCCAGGGAAUCCGAUGCCCUUUCUGGCCUCCAAGGGCACCUGCGGUCACAUGACCAUAGCCCCUACAUGGACACACACAAGCACAUAAUUAAUUAUCUUUUUAAUUAACAAAAGGAAGUAUGACCUGGAGAAGACAGGAGCUCCACAAGGACCAAAUAUAUCUGGGCACAGGGGUCUUUUAUGAGACUGUUUCUCCAACCAAGGACCAGGUGUGGAUAUAACCUAGAACCCCUGCUCGGAUGUAGCCCAUGGUAGCUCAGUAUCCAAGUGGAUACCCUAGUAAGAGGAACAAGUACUAUUUCUGACAUGAACUCAAUGGCUGGCUCUUUGACCUUCCUCCACCGGAGGGAAGAGCAGCCCUGCUAGGCCACAGAGGAGGACAUUGCAGCCAAGCCUGAAGAUACCUGAUAAGCGAGGGUCAGAUGAAAGGGGAGGAGGACCUCCCUUCUCAGUGGACUUGGAAAGGGGUAGGGAGAAGAAAAGGGAGGGAUGGUGGGAAUGAGAGGGAAUGAGGGAGCAGGAUACAGCUGGGAUAUAAAGUUAAUAAACGGUAACUAAUAUUAAAAAAAUAAAAAUUAAAAAAAGGAGGGCUGGGCAUGGUGACCCUUAAUCCCAGCACUUGGGAGGCAGCAGCAGGCAGACCUCUGAGUUCGAAGCCUUCCUGGUCUAUAGAGUGAAUUCCAGGAGAGUCAGAGCUACUCUGAGAAGCCUCAUCCUGAAAACCCAAAAUAAGAGCUGGAGAGAGUUCAUUUCCCAGCCCCUACAUGGCGGCUCACAGCGAAGGUGGCAUUCAGUGUUCUCUUCUGAUGUGUGUUCUCUUCUCUAUAUGCAGAUAGAGUACUCAUAUACAUAAAAAUAAAGAAAUCUUUUAAAAAACCCAAAAUAGAUAAGCAAAUAAUUAACUAAAUAAUAAGAUGGGGUCGGGCAUGGUGGUACACUCCUUUAAUCCCAGCACUCAGGGAAGCAGAGGCAGGCAGAUCUCUGUGAGUUCAAGCCCAGCCUGGUCUACAUAGUGAGUUCCAGGACAGCCAAGGCUUAGAGAGACCCUGUCUCCCCCUCAGCCCCUCAAAAACAUAGAAAACUUAUUUGUGGUGUGGGUGUUUGAAGCCAGGGCCCGUGCUUGCUGGACAGACACUCUACCCCUGAGCUCUUGAAGUCUAUAAAUUUGUAGCAGUGUGGCUUAACACAAAAUGACUACACAAGGGACUCAACGGGAAAUAAACCCUGAGACUUACA